rnacentral:misc_RNA from 1 species
AAGACUAUAGACCUGCGGAGUACCUGCGGAAGGAUCAUUACCGAGUUUUCAACUCCCUAACCCUUCUGUGAACCUACCUAUCGUUGCUUCGGCGGACUCGCCCCAGCCCGGACGCGGACUGGACCAGCGGCCCGCCGGGGACCCCAAACUCUUGUAUUCCAGCAUCUUCUGAAUACGCCGCAAGGCAAAACAAAUGAAUCAAAACUUUUAGCAAUGGAUCUCUAGAUCGGAAGAGCACAC